rnacentral:tRNA from 1 species
UGGCACAUAGUAGCCUUCAUGGCAGUAGCACUCCGUCAUGGGGUGUCGGGGGUCGGAGGUUCAAAUCCUCUCGUGCCGACCA